rnacentral:rRNA from 1 species
UCGAGAAUUUUUCUCAAUGGGGGCAACCCUGAAGGAGCGACGCCGCGUGGAGGAUGAAGGUCUUCGGAUCGUAAACUCCUGUCAUUUGGGAACAAAACUUCCGCUUUACUGGCGGAAGCUUGAUAGUACUAGAAGAGGAAGAGACGGCUAACUCUGUGCCAGCAGCCGCGGUAAUACAGAGGUCUCAACCGUUGUUCGGAUUCAUUGGGCGUAAAGGGUGCGUAGGCGGUCGCGUAAGUCGGAUGUGAAAUCCCGGGGCUCAACCCCGGAACUGCAUUCGAUACUGCGUGGCUAGGGUACUGGAGAGGAGACUGGAAUUUACGGUGUAGCAGUGAAAUGCGUAGAUAUCGUAAGGAAGACCAGUGGCGAAGGCGAGUCUCUGGACAGUUACCGACGCUGAGGCACGAAGGCCAGGGGAGCAAACGG